rnacentral:rRNA from 1 species
CUAAGUUUGAUGGCGACCGGCGCACGGGUGAGUAACACGUAUCCAACCUGCCGAUGGCUCGGGGAUAGCCUUUCGAAAGAAAGAUUAAUACCCGAUGGCAUAGUUCUUCCGCAUGGUGGAACUAUUAAAGAAUUUCGGUCAUCGAUGGGGAUGCGUUCCAUUAGGUUGUUGGCGGGGUAACGGCCCACCAAGCCUUCGAUGGAUAGGGGUUCUGAGAGGAAGGUCCCCCACAUUGGAACUGAGACACGGUCCAAACUCCUACGGGAGGCAGCAUG